rnacentral:lncRNA from 1 species
GGCUAAACUUCUACAUGUUUGACCUUAGCAUCAUAGUGAUCCAGCACCUUCUGAAGAAAUGUCUGCAAACCAGGAAGAAAAUCUUGGGUGCUAUAAAUCUUUUUAUCAAAUUGACAGUUGUUUUAAAUAGAACUCGCUUCUUUGAGUUGCAUCCUGGGGGUGGACACCUGUGUAGGUGCCCCAUGGCAAUAGGAUGGUCUUUAUCGCUGUGUUAGAAAUAUUUGUUUCAAUAAUGGCAGAACAAGCUAGAUUAGGGGAGGUCAGAAUCAGGGAAAAGGAAAAAUGUAGUUUUUUAAGUUUCUUGUUGGUUGUUGUUUUUUGAGGCCUCUUAAUAGGGCAUAGAGGAUAGGAAAAUAGGGAGUUCCUGGUAGAGAUCAGGCAUCCUUUAUGUCUUUGGUGGAUCAGGAGCUUGACAUUGCUGAACAUUGCUGGAUAAUGGUUGCCUUAUGUGGAAUCAGGAUCCUGGAACUGAUAAUAGAGCAGGUGAAACCAGGGGAACAUUAAAAGGUGUGAUUAUAAUAACCAUGGAAUCUAAGCUGGAUUAGAGGAGAAACAAGGGCACAAAUGGCAUAGCUGAGCUAAUGUGGAGGACAAGCUUUUUGGAAGCCAAGGGAUCAGGAUUUCAGGCAUGAUAGUUUUGGAAGGAUCAUAUAUAAGAGUAUUGAGAUUAUGUAGCAGCAUCCUAG